rnacentral:rRNA from 1 species
GACGAACGCUGGCGGCGUGCUUAACACAUGCAAGUCGAACGGAAAGGCCUUUUCGGAGGUACUCGAGUGGCGAACGGGUGAGUAACACGUGGGUGAUCUGCCCUGCACUCUGGGAUAAGCCUGGGAAACUGGGUCUAAUACCGGAGAGGACCGCACUGUAGGGUGUGUGGUGGAAAGGUUUUUCGGUGUAGGAUGAGCCCGCGGCCUAUCAGCUUGUUGGUGGGGUAAUGGCCUACCAAGGCGGCGACGGGUAGCCGGACUGAGAGGUUGGUCGGCCACAUUGGGACUGAGAUACGGCCCAGACUCCUACGGGAGGCAGCAGUGGGGAAUAUUGCACAAUGGGCGCAAGCCUGAUGCAGCGACGCCGCGUGGGGGAUGACGGCCUUCGGGUUGUAAUCUCCUUUCGCCAGGGACGAAGCGUUUUGUGACGGUACCUGGAGAAGAAGCACCGGCUAACUACGUG